rnacentral:rRNA from 1 species
UAUGUGAUCGUCUCUCGCAUAUCAAUAAGCGGAGGAAAAGAAACUAACAAGGAUUCCCCUAGUAACGGCGAGUGAAGCGGGAAGAGCUCAAAUUUGAAAUCUUAAAGGGUUUCCCUUUACGAAUUGUAGUUUAAAGAAGUGUUUUCUGUUGAGGUUUUGGUAAAAGUUCUUUGGAAUAGGACAUCAUAGAGGGUGAGAAUCCCGUAUUUGACCUUUACUUUCAACUUUGUGAUACACUUUCAAAGAGUCGGAUUGUUUGGGAAUGCAGUCCAAAAUGGGUGGUAAAUUUCAUCUAAAGCUAAAUAUUGGCGAGAGACCGAUAGCGAACAAGUACCGUGAGGGAAAGAUGAAAAGAACUUUGAAAAGAGAGUUAAACAGUACGUGAAAUUGUCAAAAGGGAAGCGUUUGACACCAGUGUUGUUUUUCUGAAAAUCAAUUAAAGAACUGUUUAUGCUAAGUUGUUUAGACUUUAUCAGCUAAUCUGCUUAGUUUUGAGCUUUUCUUUAAUGCACUUUUCAGUUAACAAGUCAACAUCAAUUUCUUUUGCUGUAAAAAAGCUUGAGGAAGGUGGCUUGAGAUUCAGUCUUAAGUGUUUAUAGCCUCUUGCCUAUGCAGUCGGAGAGAUUGAGGUCUGCAGCGUAGAUCCUUCGGGGCUAAAUGCAUUUGUGCUAAGUUAUAGCAUUUUAUAGACAACUUGUUGACUAUGAUUUGUCUUGUAGCUUACUCGCUUAUGUUAUUUUACCUACGCUUAGGAUGUUGAGUCGUAGAGCACGCAG